GGAGCCGAUGAAGGACGUGAUAAGCUGCGAUAAGCUUCGGGUAGGCGCACAUAGCCAGUGAUCCGGAGAUUUCCGAAUGUGGGAACACACAUGGGAAACCCCAUGUAUCGUAUAGUGAAUACAUAGCUAUACGAGGGUAAACCUAGGGAACUGAAACAUCUAAGUACCUAGAGGAAGAGAAAGAAAAAUCGAUUUCCUAAGUAGCGGCGAGCGAAAGGGAAAGAGCCCAAACCAAAGAUUUAUCUUUGGGGUUGCGGACAGAACAUUAACGAGAAGUCAUGAUUAACCGAACACAACUGGAAAGUUGGACCGUAGGAGGUAAUAGUCCUGUAGGUGAAAGUCAAGAUAAUCAAGUUCUGAUCCAGAGUACCACGAGACACGUGAAACCUUGUGGGAAGCAGGGAGGACCACCUCCCAAGGCUAAAUACUACCUGAUGACCGAUAGUGAAGCAGUACCGUGAGGGAAAGGUGAAAAGAACCCCGGGAGGGGAGUGAAAUAGAACCUGAAACCGUGUGCCUACAACCGGUCAAAGCCCCUUAUGAGGGUGAUGACGUGCUUUUUGUAGAACGAGCCAACGAGUUACGGUAUGUAGCAAGGUUAAGUACUUAAGGUACGGAGCCGAAGGGAAACCGAGUCUUAAUAGGGCGACUAGUUGCAUGCCGUAGACCCGAAACCGGGUGACCUAUCCAUGGCCAGGUUGAAGCGAGGGUAAAACUUCGUGGAGGACCGAACCACGUUGCUGUUGAAAAAGCAUGGGAUGAGCUGUGGAUAGCGGAGAAAUUCCAAUCGAACUCGGAGAUAGCUGGUUCUCCCCGAAAUAGCUUUAGGGCUAGCGUCGGAUAUGUGUAGUGGAGGUAGAGCACUGAAUGGGCUAGGGGGCAUAUCGCUUACCGAACCUUAUCAAACUCCGAAUGCCAUAUACAUUAAGUCCGGCAGUCAGACUACGAAUGAUAAGAUCCGUGGUCAAAAGGGAAACAGCCCAGACCGUCAGCUAAGGUCCCAAAGUGUAAGUUAAGUGGAAAAGGAUGUGGGAUUUCUAAGACAACUAGGAUGUUGGCUUAGAAGCAGCCACUCAUUUAAAGAGUGCGUAAUAGCUCACUAGUCGAGAGAUCCUGCGCCGAAAAUGUACCGGGGCUAAACUUACCACCGAAGCUACGGAUUUGCAAGUAAUUGCAAGUGGUAGGGGAGCGUCGUAAUCGGGCUGAAGUCGUACCGGAAGGAGCGGUGGACUGAUUACGAGUGAGAAUGUUGGCAUUAGUAGCGAGAUGUAGGUGAGAAUCCUACAGGCCGAAUAUCUAAGGUUUCCUCAGGAAGGCUCGUCCGCUGAGGGUUAGUCGGGACCUAAGCCGAGGCCGAAAGGCGUAGGCGAUGGACAAUCGGUUGAUAUUCCGAUACCACUACCAUCGUUAUUAUCGAGGGUGUGACGGAGAAGGAUAGUGUGUGCUAGCGAUUGGAAAUGCUAGUCUAAGCGUUUAGGGAGUUACGGUAGGCAAAUCCGCUGUAACAAUUCUGAGGCGUGAUGGGGAAGGUCAUUAAGACCGAAGUACAUGAUUCCAUGCUUCCAAGAAAAGCAUCUAGAGAGAGAAGUAGUGCCCGUACCGCAAACCGACACAGGUAGAUGAGGAGAGAAUCCUAAGGCCGGCGGAAGAAUUGCAGUUAAGGAACUAGGCAAAUUGACCCCGUAAGUUCGCGAGAAGGGGUGCCUGCGAGAGCAGGCCGCAGAGAAUAGGCCCAAGCAACUGUUUAGCAAAAACACAGGUCUCUGCUAAAGCGUAAGCUGAUGUAUAGGGGCUGACGCCUGCCCGGUGCUGGAAGGUUAAGGGGAACACUUAGCGCAAGCGAAGGUGUGAACUUAAGCCCCAGUAAACGGCGGCCGUAACUAUAACGGUCCUAAGGUAGCGAAAUUCCUUGUCAGGUAAGUUCUGACCCGCACGAAUGGCGUAAUGACUUGGGCACUGUCUCAACUGCAAAUCCGGCGAAGUUGUAGUGCGAGUGAAGAUGCUCGCUACCCGCGAUUGGACGGAAAGACCCCGUAGAGCUUUACUGUAGCUUAGCAUUGAAUUCCGGUAUUGUCUGUACAGGAUAGGUGGGAGACUGGGAAACUAGGGCGUCAGCCUUAGUGGAGUCAACCUUGGGAUACCACCCUGACAGUACUGGGGUUCUAACAGGACGCCAUGAAGCUGGUGACUGGACAUUGUUAGGUGGGCAGUUUGACUGGGGCGGUCGCCUCCU
rnacentral:rRNA from 1 species